AUAAUUUUUAUAUUGCUUUUGUUUAUUAUUUAUAAAUGUUUUUUAGAAAUAACUUUUUUAUUAGUAAUUUUUAUUGAACUUAUUAUUUUUAGCUAUAGUUUAAAGUACUGUGAAGGAUCUGUUUUUAUUAUUUUUAAGCAAACUUUUUUUGUUGUACCUUUUGUAUCAGGGUUUAUCAAUUUUAUGUUAAUUAUAAUUAACUUUCCCGAAAUUAAAAGAGAUAUGUUUUAAUGACAGUUUACGUUAUAAAGUGAUUUUUAAUUAAAAUAUAGAGGUUAUAUGCUAUUCAAUUUUAAAUAUCUGGUUAUCUAAUAAAUUAAUUUAAUUAAGGUUAUUAAUAUGUUGAUUUAUAAUUUUAUUUUAUUCAAUUUUAUUAACUAAAAUUAUAGGGGAUAAGCUCUAUUAAUUGUUUUAUAAUCUAGUUUAUUUAAAAGUUUUGUAGGCUUGACAACAGCCAUCAUUUAUUUCGUUACAGUUAAUCUUUUAUUUAUUUUUAUUUAUUAUGAUUUAAUUUUUUAUUAGAUUUUUUUAUUUAAUUUUUUAUUAUAAGUUAUAAUGAUAGAAUUAGUAGUUUUGUAUAUUUAAAUAUAGGAACUCGGCAAAUUUAAUUCUCGCCUGUUUAACAAAAACAUGUCCUUUAGAUAAUUAAUUAAAGGUCUAGCCUGCCCAGUGAUGGACUUAAACGGCCGCAGUAUUCUGACUGUGCGAAGGUAGCAUAAUCAUUUGUCUUUUAAUUGAAGGCUUGUAUGAAUGGUUGGACGAGGAAUUAACUUUCUUUAUUUAAAUUUUAUGAAUUUGAUUUUUGAGUUAAAAAGCUUAAAUAUUUUUGCAAGACGAGAAGACCCUAUAGAAUUUUAUUAUUUAUUAUAUAUUUAUAUUUUUGAUAAUUUUUUGUAAAUAUAUAAUGAAUAAUUUUGUUGGGGCGACAGUGAAAAUUAAUUAACUUUCAUUUUUAAUUUAUUCAUUAAUUUAUGUAUUUUUUGAUCCUAAAUUUUGGAUUAUAAGAUUAAAUUACCUUAGGGAUAACAGCGUAAUUUUUUCGGAGAGUUCUUAUCGAUGAAAGAGUUUGCGACCUCGAUGUUGGAUUAAAGUAAGUCUUUGGUGUAGUAGCUUGUAUGACUAAGUCUGUUCGACUUUUAAAUCUUUACAUGAUCUGAGUUCAGACCGGCGUGAGCCAGGUUGGUUUCUAUCUGCAAUUGUUUUGUUAUACUUUAGUACGAAAGGACCAAGUAUAAAUAAUAUUUAUAUUUUUUUGAUUAUUAUUAA
rnacentral:rRNA from 1 species